AGAGUUUGAUCAUGGCUCAGGACGAACGCUGGCGGCGUGCUUAACACAUGCAAGUCGAACGGUAAGGCCUUUCGGGGUACACGAGUGGCGAACGGGUGAGUAACACGUGGGUGAUCUGCCCUGCACUUUGGGAUAAGCCUGGGAAACUGGGUCUAAUACCGAAUAUGACCAUUGGUUGCAUGACUGGUGGUGGAAAGCUUUUGCGGUGUGGGAUGGGCCCGCGGCCUAUCAGCUUGUUGGUGGGGUGAUGGCCUACCAAGGCGACGACGGGUAGCCGGCCUGAGAGGGUGUCCGGCCACACUGGGACUGAGAUACGGCCCAGACUCCUACGGGAGGCAGCAGUGGGGAAUAUUGCACAAUGGGCGCAAGCCUGAUGCAGCGACGCCGCGUGAGGGAUGACGGCCUUCGGGUUGUAAACCUCUUUCAGCACAGACGAAGCGCAAGUGACGGUAUGUGCAGAAGAAGCACCGGCCAACUACGUGCCAGCAGCCGCGGUAAUACGUAGGGUGCGAGCGUUGUCCGGAAUUACUGGGCGUAAAGAGCUCGUAGGUGGUUUGUCGCGUUGUUCGUGAAAACUCACAGCUUAACUGUGGGCGUGCGGGCGAUACGGGCAGACUGGAGUACUGCAGGGGAGACUGGAAUUCCUGGUGUAGCGGUGGAAUGCGCAGAUAUCAGGAGGAACACCGGUGGCGAAGGCGGGUCUCUGGGCAGUAACUGACGCUGAGGAGCGAAAGCGUGGGGAGCGAACAGGAUUAGAUACCCUAGUAGUCC
rnacentral:rRNA from 1 species